rnacentral:lncRNA from 1 species
ACCACAUUAGAGACAUACUAACAUUAACCCGAUCAUAAAGCUUUCGCUAUAACGUAGUUCCACGUCACUCACGUUUCCUAGAUCCUUAAGAUUUUUCAUUCCUAAGGGUCUCUAGGUCUAUCAUAUACUUUCACUUUUAGGCUCUGAUACCAUAUCUGUCACGCCCCGGGACCGCCUGUUUCGUCGGUUCGGGCACGUCGAACAGACGCCGAACGGACAGCACCUCGCUUGUCUGUCCAAGGCUCAACACAUGUACAAUUCAAGUAAAGAGAAUGCACAAGCGGAAACAUACACAAAUGGCUUACACGAGAGCAAGCAGUAGCCAAAAGUAAAAGAUUCUAAACUAAACAUUCAAAUAAAUAUAAUGAUUAACUUUUAAUCACAUUCGUUCAUACAACUCUUACAUUCACAUUCAUAUCUCACAUUUACAUUUACAUUCUUUUCAUCAUUUCUUUUUACAUCACAAGCUCUCCCAAAAUAGACUUUUACAUUUAACCAUCAUUAAUACAUCUAUAAUCAUCAAAGAUAAAAGAUGAUAUAUAAAGG